rnacentral:rRNA from 1 species
UAUACAGCGAAACUGCGAAUGGCUCAUUAUAUAAGUUAUCGUUUAUUUGAUAGUACCUUACUACUUGGAUAACCGUGGUAAUUCUAGAGCUAAUACAUGCUAAAAAUCCCGACUUCGGAAGGGAUGUAUUUAUUAGAUUAAAAACCAAUGCCCUUUGGGCUCCUUGGUGAUUCAUAAUAACUUUUCGAAUCGCAUGGCCUUGCGCCGGCGAUGGUUCAUUCAAAUUUCUUCCCUAUCAACUUUCGAUGUUUGGGUAUUGGCCAAACAUGGUCGCAACGGGUAACGGAGGGUUAGGGCUCGACCCCGGAGAAGGAGCCUGAGAAACGGCUACUACAUCCAAGGAAGGCAGCAGGCGCGCAAAUUACCCAAUCCCGAUUCGGGGAGGUAGUGACAAUAAAUACUGAUACAGGGCUCUUUUGGGUCUUGUAAUUGGAAUGAGUACAAUUUAAAUCCCUUAACGAGGAACAAUUGGAGGGCAAGUCUGGUGCCAGCAGCCGCGGUAAUUCCAGCUCCAAUAGCGUAUAUUAAAGUUGUUGUGGUUAAAAAGCUCGUAGUUGAACCUUGGGCCUGGCUGGCCGGUCCGCCUCACCGCGUGUACUGGUCCGGCCGGGCCUUUCCCUCUGUGGAACCUCAUGCCCUUCACUGGGUGUGGCGGGGAAACAGGACUUUUACUUUGAAAAAAUUAGAGUGCUCCAGGCAGGCCUAUGCUCGAAUACAUUAGCAUGGAAUAAUAAAAUAGGACGUGUGGUUCUAUUUUGUUGGUUUCUAGGACCGCCGUAAUGAUUAAUAGGGACAGUCGGGGGCAUCAGUAUUCAAUUGUCAGAGGUGAAAUUCUUGGAUUUAUUGAAGACUAACUACUGCGAAAGCAUUUGCCAAGGAUGUUUUCAUUAAUCAGGAACGAAAGUUAGGGGAUCGAAGACGAUCAGAUACCGUCGUAGUCUUAACCAUAAACUAUGCCGACUAGGGAUCGGACGAUGUUAUUUUUUGACGCGUUCGGCACCUUACGAGAAAUCAAAGUGCUUGGGCUC